CACGUAGGGUGCGAGCGUUGUCCGGAAUUAUUGGGCGUAAAGAGCUCGUAGGCGGUCCGUCACGUCGGAUGUGAAAUUCCAGGGCUCAACCCUGGACCUGCAUUCGAUACGGGCGGACUAGAGUUCGGUAGGGGAGACUGGAAUUCCUGGUGUAGCGGUGAAAUGCGCAGAUAUCAGGAGGAACACCGGUGGCGAAGGCGGUUCUCUGGGCCUGUACUGACGCUGAGGAACGAAAGCGUGGGGAGCGAACAGG
rnacentral:rRNA from 1 species